rnacentral:rRNA from 1 species
UAAAACUCAAAUGAAUUGACGGGGGCCCGCACAAGCGGUGGAGCAUGUGGUUUAAUUCGAUGCAACGCGAAGAACCUUACCUGGUCUUGACAUCCACAGAACUUUCCAGAGAUGGAUUGGUGCCUUCGGGAACUGUGAGACAGGUGCUGCAUGGCUGUCGUCAGCUCGUGUUGUGAAAUGUUGGGUUAAGUCCCGCAACGAGCGCAACCCUUAUCCUUUGUUGCCAGCGGUUAGGCCGGGAACUCAAAGGAGACUGCCAGUGAUAAACUGGAGGAAGGUGGGGAUGACGUCAAGUCAUCAUGGCCCUUACGACCAGGGCUACACACGUGCUACAAUGGCGCAUACAAAGAGAAGCGACCUCGCGAGAGCAAGCGGACCUCAUAAAGUGCGUCGUAGUCCGGAUUGGAGUCUGCAACUCGACUCCAUGAAGUCGGAAUCGCUAGUAAUCGUGGAUCAGAAUGCCACGGUGAAUACGUUCCCGGGCCUUGUACACACCGCCCGUCACACCAUGGGAGUGGGUUGCAAAAGAAGUAGGUAGCUUAACCUUCGGGAGGGCGCUUACCACUUUGUGAUUCAUGACUGGGGUGAAGUCGUAACAAGGUAACCGUAGGGGAACCUGCGGUUGGAUCACCUCCUUACCUUAAAGAAGC